GGACUACUGGGGUAUCUAAUCCCGUUUGCUCCCCACGCUUUCGCGCCUCAGCGUCAGUACCGGUCCAGGGGGCCGCCUUCGCCACCGGUGUUCCUCCCAAUAUCUACGCAUUUCACCGCUACACUGGGAAUUCCACCCCCCUCUCCCGGACUCGAGCCCUGCAGUUUCUUCCGCACGUCCUCAGUUGAGCCGAGGGAUUUCACGGAAGACACGCAAGGCCGCCUACGCGCCCUUUACGCCCAAUAAUUCCGAAUAACGCUGGCCCCCUCUGUAUUACCGCGGCGGCUGGCAC
rnacentral:rRNA from 1 species